rnacentral:rRNA from 1 species
UAGGGAAUCUUCGGCAAUGGACGGAAGUCUGACCGAGCAACGCCGCGUGAGUGAAGAAGGUUUUCGGAUCGUAAAGCUCUGUUGUAAGAGAAGAACGAGUGUGAGAGUGGAAAGUUCACACUGUGACGGUAUCUUACCAGAAAGGGACGGCUAACUACGUGCCAGCAGCCGCGGUAAUACGUAGGUCCCGAGCGUUGUCCGGAUUUAUUGGGCGUAAAGCGAGCGCAGGCGGUUAGAUAAGUCUGAAGCUAAAGGCUGUGGCUUAACCAUAGUAGGCUUUGGAAACUGUUUAACUUGAGUGCAAGAGGGGAGAGUGGAAUUCCAUGUGUAGCGGUGAAAUGCGUAGAUACAUGGAGGAACACCGGUGGCGAAAGCGGCUCUCUGGCUUGUAACUGACGCUGAGGCUCGAAAGCGUGGGGAGCAAACAGGAUUAGAUACCCUGGUAGUCCACGCUGUAAACGAUGAGUGCUAGGUGUUAGACCCUUUCCGGGGUUUAGUGCCGUAGCUAACGCAUUAAGCACUCCGCCUGGGGAGUACGACCGCAAGGUUG